rnacentral:rRNA from 1 species
UAGGGAAUCUUCCGCAAUGGGCGAAAGCCUGACGGAGCAACGCCGCGUGAGUGAUGAAGGUCUUCGGAACGUAAAACUCUGUUACUAGGGAAGAACAAAUGUGUAAGUAACUAUGCACGUCUUGACGGUACCUAAUCAGAAAGCCACGGCCAACUACGUGCCAGCAGCUGCGGUAAUACGUAGGUGGCAAGCGUUGUCCGGAUUUAUUGGGCGUAAAGCGAGCGCAGGCGGUCAAUUAAGUCUGAUGUAAAAGCCCCCGGCUCAACCGGGGAGGGUCAUUGGAAACUGGUGGUCUUGAGGGCGGAAGAGGAGAGUGGAAUUCCAUGUGUAGCGGUGAAAUGCGUAGAUAUAUGGAGGAACACCUGUGGCGAAGGCGAAUCACUGGUGUGUAACUGACGAUGAGGCUCGAAAGCGUGGGUAGCAAACAGG